AUCGCGUCGCCCCCCCUCCCCGCGCACAGCGCGGCCGAGGUGGGGCGGAUAUUGGCCCCCCGUGUGCCUCGGCGUGCGGUCGGCCCAAAUGCGAUCCCCCGGCGACUCGUGUCGCGACAAGUGGUGGUUGAACAUAUCAAUUCGCCGUCGCGCUCCUGCGUCGUCCGACGGGCAUCACUGAACGACCCAACGGUGUUUUUGCACCUUCGA
rnacentral:misc_RNA from 1 species